rnacentral:rRNA from 1 species
CAGUAGCCGCGGUAAUACAGAGGGUGCGAGCGUUAAUCGGAUUUACUGGGCGUAAAGCGUGCGUAGGCGGCUUUUUAAGUCGGAUGUGAAAUCCCUAAGCUUAACUUAGGAAUUGCAUUCGAUACUGGGAAGCUAGAGUAUGGGAGAGGAUGGUAGAAUUCCAGGUGUAGCGGUGAAAUGCGUAGAGAUCUGGAGGAAUACCGAUGGCGAAGGCAGCCAUCUGGCCUAAUACUGACGCUGAGGUACGAAAGCAUGGGGAGCAAACAGGAUUAGAUACCCCGGUAGUCCCUGUCUCUUAUAC